GAUGAAGAACGUAGUGAAAUGCGAUAAGUAGUGUGAAUUGCAGAAUUCAGUGAAUCAUCGAAUCUUUGAACGCCCAUUGCGCCCCUUGGUAUUCCAUGGGGCAUGCCUGUUCGAGCGUCAUUUGUACCUUCAAGCUCUGCUUGGUGUUGGGUGUUUGUCUCGCCUCUGCGUGUAGACUCGCCUCAAAACAAUUGGCAGCCGGCGUAUUGAUUUCGGAGCGCAGUACAUCUCGCGCUUUGCACUCAUAACGACGACGUCCAAAAGUACAUUUUUACACUCUUGACCUCGGAUCAGGUAGGGAUACCCGCUGAACUUAAGCAUAUCAAUAAGCGGAGGA
rnacentral:misc_RNA from 1 species